rnacentral:rRNA from 1 species
UACGUAGGGUGCAAGCGUUUGUCCGGAAUUAUUGGGCGUAAAGAGCUCGUAGGCGGUCUGUCGCGUCUGCUGUGAAAACUCAGGGCUUAACCCUGAGCUUGCAGUGGGUACGGGCAGACUAGAGUGCGGUAGGGGAGACUGGAAUUCCUGGUGUAGCGGUGAAAUGCGCAGAUAUCAGGAGGAACACCGGUGGCGAAGGCGGGUCUCUGGGCCGUAACUGACGCUGAGGAGCGAAAGCGUGGGGGAGCGAACAGG